rnacentral:lncRNA from 1 species
UAUUUUCCAAAUGAGAUUCAUUUUUGCAAAGCAUUGAGAUUCCAAGAUGGUAUUAGACGGCUCUCUUCUGUGAAGGUGAAAUUGACGCGAUUUCUAUUCGGUCCGCAUUCUUCCAGAUCGCUUCUAGAUCGUGAGUUUUCCAGUUCGCUACAGACAUGCACAUUCUCAGAUUGCGAUUUCUCUUCCAGCGACGACGUGUUUUCUGUAGAACGGCAGACGACGGCGAGUGUUGCAGACGACGACGAGUGUUGACGACGGCGAGUGUCCCUGUUCGAUCGAUUUCCAGAUCUCUGUAGAUGCGAUUGAUUUCCAGAUCGGUUCUUUCAGAGCGCGAUCGAUUUCCAGAUCGGUCAAAAUCGAAAUUUCCAUAUUGAAAUAUCCAGAUCGGUUUUCCUGCUUCAAUUUUCAGAUCGUGCACACGGAUUGCGGAUUUGCAAGGAGCAUUCGUGGAG